rnacentral:rRNA from 1 species
AACGAACGCUGGCGGCAUGCCUAACACAUGCAAGUCGAACGAGACCUUCGGGUCUAGUGGCGCACGGGUGCGUAACGCGUGGGAACCUGCCUUUAGGUUCGGAAUAACUCAGAGAAAUUUGAGCUAAUACCGGAUGAUGUCUUCGGACCAAAGAUUUAUCGCCUUUAGAUGGGCCCGCGUUGGAUUAGCUAGUUGGUGGGGUAAAGGCCUACCAAGGCGACGAUCCAUAGCUGGUCUGAGAGGAUGAUCAGCCACACUGGGACUGAGACACGGCCCAGACUCCUACGGGGGGCAGCAGUGGGGAAUAUUGGACAAUGGGCGAAAGACUGAUCCAGCAAUGCCGCGUGAGUGAUGAAGGCCUUAGGGUUGUAAAGCUCUUUUAACCGAGAUGAUAAUGACAGUAUCGGGAGAAUAAGCUCCGGCUAACUCCGUG